CAGUCGCCGCGGUAAUACGAGGGGGGCAAGCGUUGUUCGGAUUUAUUGGGCGUAAAGGGUGCGUAAGCGGCUUGACAAGUCUUGUGUGAAAUCUAUGGGCUCAACCCAUAGUCUGCACGGGAAACUGUCGGGCUUGAGAAUGGGAGAGGUGAGUGGAACUGCGAGUGUAGAGGUGAAAUUCGUAGAUAUUCGCAAGAACACCGGUGGCGAAGGCGGCUCACUGGUCCGGAACUGACGCUGAGGCACGACAGCGUGGGGAGCAAACAGGAUUAGAUACCCGGGUAGUCCCUGUCUCUUAUAC
rnacentral:rRNA from 1 species